GCCGGGGUAGUCUAGUGGUAAGGCGCAAGCCUGGAAAGCUUGUGGGGGGAAACUCCCGCAAGGGUUCGAGUCCCUUCCCCGGCG
rnacentral:tRNA from 1 species